rnacentral:rRNA from 1 species
AAGCUGUGGAUUGUCCUUUGGACAAUGGUAGGAGAGCGUUCUAAGGGCGUUGAAGCAUGAUCGUAAGGACAUGUGGAGCGCUUAGAAGUGAGAAUGCCGGUGUGAGUAGCGAAAGAUGGGUGAGAAUCCCGUCCACCGAUUGACUAAGGUUUCCAGAGGAAGGCUCGUCCGCUCUGGGUUAGUCGGGUCCUAAGCUGAGGCCGACAGGCGUAGGCGAUGGAUAACAGGUUGAUAUUCCUGUACCACCUAUAAUCGUUUUAAUCGAUGGGGGGACGCAGUAGGAUAGGCGAAGCGUGCGAUUGGAUUGCACGUCUAAGCAGUAAGGCUGAGUAUUAGGCAAAUCCGGUACUCGUUAAGGCUGAGCUGUGAUGGGGAGAAGACAUUGUGUCUUCGAGUCGUUGAUUUCACACUGCCGAGAAAAGCCUCUAGAUAGAAAAUAGGUGCCCGUACCGCAAACCGACACAGGUAGUCAAGAUGAGAAUUCUAAGGUGAGCGAGCGAACUCUCGUUAAGGAACUCGGCAAAAUGACCCCGUAACUUCGGGAGAAGGGGUGCUCUUUAGGGUUAACGCCCAGAAGAGCCGCAGUGAAUAGGCCCAAGCGACUGUUUAUCAAAAACACAGGUCUCUGCUAAACCGUAAGGUGAUGUAUAGGGGCUGACGCCUGCCCGGUGCUGGAAGGUUAAGAGGAGUGGUUAGCUUCUGCGAAGCUACGAAUCGAAGCCCCAGUAAACGGCGGCCGUAACUAUAACGGUCCUAAGGUAGCGAAAUUCCUUGUCGGGUAAGUUCCGACCCGCACGAAAGGCGUAACGAUUUGGGCACUGUCUCAACGAGAGACUCGGUGAAAUCAUAGUACCUGUGAAGAUGCAGGUUACCCGCGACAGGACGGAAAGACCCCGUGGAGCUUUACUGUAGCCUGAUAUUGAAAUUCGGCACAGCUUGUACAGGAUAGGUAGGAGCCUUUGAAACGUGAGCGCUAGCUUACGUGGAGGCGCUG